AUGCUCCGUCGACGGGGGUCGAUUAGAUUUAACGUUACGCUUUUUUCCGUUAGGAUUAUCUGUAUUUGCGAACAUGGAAGGUUAAAUAAUGAAAGGUACCGAUUCAUUUACUAUCUUCGCAGAUUAUCGGAACGGACAUUUGUAAGAGAUUGAACAGUAAAACGGUUAUAUUGUUUGGAAAUAAUAUUGUUACGAAAUAAUUCCACCUUCGCAAAUUUACAGUUAUACGUGUUAAGUUAGAUUACAUCUGUUCUUGGUAACGGAGCAGGAUAAUAAAUGUGCUCGUUGCACUUUUUUUUCCCGUAUCAAUAACAAGAUUAUCGCAAUAUUUUCUAAUAAUUGUUGACAACGAGGCUCCAUCCGCCGAUCGAGAAUUGAUCCUAUUCUGAUGUAACAUCGCGAACGUUUCUCAGCAACAAAUGGGAAAAGAAUAAUUGAUCUAUCGCGUAAUCUAUACGUUCGUGUGUACGCAAUAACGUUAUCGAUCGAAAGUAAACGUAAAGUCUAGUGACGGUGCUAGUAGGUAAGAGUAGAUCGAACGGAAUACCGUACGUCUUUACGCGUCACCUACUUCGAUACGAAUCGGGUAUGAUUUGUUUAAAAAAAUUACCCAUUGUCGUAACCAUGGUAUCGCGCUGUACCAUACAUCCCUGAGUCCUACGGGGUUUAAUAUCGUGAAGGGUAGUCGAGAGGAAGGAAGAUAGGGGCGACCCUAAAGCGAGGGAGUGCUGAUGCUAAAGCUGCGAGCACGAAGGGACCUUCAAAUAAAAAAAGGUAGGACCUACCGAGCGAGCGAGCGAACCAGCGAGAGAAAACGGGAGAGAAAAUCCGGUCCCCCUUCUUUCGAGACCAGGGAAAGGCCGCACCCACUCGGUUCUUGAAGAUCAUACUGGGUCCCCGCUGGCACAGCCCUGAGCAUGUAAGUAAACACGCCAAAGUUCUGGUGCCUCGACAUGCAGCCAACAUUUUCCACGAGGUUGGAUAUCCGUGAACGAGUGGUCACUCGCGUAGACGGAACCUCGAAGACCCUCGGUUGCGAAGAACGAAAGAAGAACGCAAAUUAGGUAUAAACCUUUUGAAAUUCAACCAGAGAAAUUCGAAUACUUUCUAACACGGGAAGAGCAUCGAAGGGACGAACAAGAGCCGUGCAAGUCUGACCAUUGUUACUCCGAUCACACGAUGCUUGCACAACGUCCACGAAGUUGCGUUAUGAGGCAGCAAUAGCUUCUCCUCGUGUUUAAAGCGAAUUCGUGUCGUCUGCGUCAUAACGUUAUAUUAUAACGUUAUUUGAAUGUAAGAUAAUCAGAAUGCAUACGCUUGGCCAGCAAGUUGGUCACUCUUAGGUUAAGCCAAAGUCAACACGUGGCAACACCGCGCUACAGCUGUCAUACGCGUCAUGCAUCGAGCCAAAGCUCAACUUAUUCAAUGUACGACAGACAUACGUAUUUUAUAAGAGUUGCUACAUUCUUUUUCUGUCGAAACAACGCCGUUCGAACUUCGACGACUGUUCGAUCGUGGAGAAAAAUUAUUCCUCCGUCAAGGAACAGUGUCGUACGAUUUGGGAUACCCCGGUGUUCCCUCGUAACAUUCUCAUGCCAUCCGCUUCCCUCUCCCAAAAUCCCAGACGGGAAAGUGAGUUUCGGAACAUGAUUGUUAAUUUUACGUAACGUACAGCUUGCUUGCUAGGAACAAGUUUCCCCUCCUGCUUUUACCCAGAUCUCUAUCCAAUACCGGACUCGAAUUUUCUGGGCUUCAAUUUCCCAGAGACGCUUUGAAGGUGCAAGUAUUACUACCGAAAUCUAUUCAUUUGGAUAUAAUCUCGAUUUCGAACCAGAAUGAUUUAAAGUGCAACGAUAAAAUUCUGUCUAUAGGCCACUUGAUAUUUAUCGAUAUAUGGAAUUGUUGAUAACAUAACUCUCAAUAACAACGGCUCUAAAACGAAAGAAAGGCCGAAAAAGAAGUUGUUAAUUGUUGUUUAGGCGCGACCCAAUAUGGGUGCAGCUAUAUUAACUUUACGACAGGAGAAAGAGGGAACCGGGAGGAAAACAAAGAGAGAACGACAACGAGAGAGAGGAUGAAGGGAUAGGGUUAGUCUGUAUCAACCGUGCACCCUUAUCAAUUGGAAAAUUGGUGCGUGCAGUGGGAGCGGAAGAGGAGGAGACUCGACUAUGUUCAGCGUUGGAGGGGAGAGAGGAACGAUUAGGUUUACGCGCCUGCCAGGGACGUACGUACCGAAGGGGCCUCGUAGCUACGGUACGAUAUCGGGUUCAGUUUGUUUUAACGAUCUGCAUUGUCUAUGCACCCUCACGAAUUAGGAAUUUCAAACCGGCUACCCGAUGAGCUGGUGGCAAGAAGGGUGCUCGUACAAAAGCCAGGGGCGUAUCCAAGGAAUAGAAGGGGGCCUUUGUGUGUACGUUGAGAGAAUCAAAAGAACCAGCAAGUGAAUCAGCGAAAGAGAACGAGGGGAAUGGUGACGGACGGAAAAGAGGGAGGAAGAAGAGUGACGAGGCGCUUAGGGCGCAUGCGUCACUCGUCGUGGGCGUCGGGAAUGUGUUGACACGAGAAGCCGAGAGAACGCUGUGCCUCACUAAUGCCACGACGCCCGUGUUAUCGUCGAUACGGUUCCCGUACUGCGGGCUCGCCUUGUCCUCAGAAAAUCUGGGUCUUCGACUUCCAUCCUAACGACGAAAUCGGGGCUCUGUUGUUGACGAGGCUCCAAUCGACUCUAUCGCUACCAAUGAUUCAGAAAUUGCUGCGUACAUGAUAAACCUGAUAAAUGUAAAUAACUCCAGUAUUUUUUCAAAUAUUUUACUUUGUCGACUACUGUAGACUUCAGAACUCCAGAACUUCAGAAAGCGAACAAUGUUUUCAGAAAUGCUUUUACCCAUAAAAUUUUAGAAAGUCCAUAAUUAUACGUACAUUUCGUGGACCUGUAUUCACCGAAACAUUAAUUAUUUUGUGAAGACUCCGUCAACUUAAAUUGGCUAUAGAGUUCAUCAUUUCUAAUAUAACUUUUCUCGAUGUUCGUCGUUGUUAAGGACCUAUUUUUCAUGAAACUUUUAUCCGAUGUUUAGAGACUCGUAUAACAAUUUUCAAAGUUGGCACGAGGCUAUAGGGAAUGGUGUUUCGUAGAAAUAUAUGUUGCUCUCCACGCAGUAAAUUUCUAUGAGGUUAUGUUCGGUCGAAGCUGCUACCAGAGACAACCAUAUAACUACACUGUCAUUAUUUUCAUGAUGCUUUAGAUACAAUAAAUAAAGGCGUAGUAUCAAGGCUGUAGCUACAGUAAGUGAGGCCCAGAGCAAAAGUCAAAAUGCAAAUUUUUAUAAUCUCUCAUCUGCGACGGAAAUUAAAGUUUUGAAAAGAAGACAAUAAUGUGGUAGCACGUAAAAAAUUUCAGUCACCAUUAUACUGCAACGUAUGAACUUUUAUGGACGAGAGUCUUGCACAACCACUGGUGAAAAAUUCUAUGCAUUUAUGAGUGCAGACUUUAUAGAGAGCAGUAAGAAGAACACGAUUGUUGCUUACAACUUCUGCUUAUUUGAAUAACUAAACGGCAUGCUCGAAUCUUCGCAAUUCACAAACACAUUAUUUACAUGACACUAAAACCUGACAGGUCUUGAAAGAUGUAUUAGUGUCCCAAUUAACUAGACCAAUUAUUUUAAGUAUUGGUAAAGAAUAUUUCAGUAUUUAUAUUUAAGAAAGGAAGCUGGGUUAUGGGGUUAGAAGUUACAAGGUCACCCUCAUUUCUUUAAACUACAUAUUUUUUUCAAAUCUAUAGUUUCAUCCUGUGUACAAAUAUAGUAGGAUUAUUUAGGAAAUAAAGCUUGAGUUGCAUCUGUA